UACAGAGGUCCCAAGCGUUGUUCGGAUUCACUGGGCGUAAAGGGUGCGUAGGCGGUCGGGUAAGUCUGAUGUGAAAUCUCACAGCUUAACUGUGAAACUGCAUUGGAUACUAUCCGGCUCGAGGAAUGGAGGGGAGACUGGAAUACUUGGUGUAGCAGUGAAAUGCGCAGAUAUCGGGAGGAACACCGGUGGCGAAGGCGGUUCUCUGGGCCUUACCUGACACUGAGGAGCGAAAGCGUGGGGAGCGAACAGG
rnacentral:rRNA from 1 species